GCGCCCCGAUGGCCGACGCCGCACGCCCCGGCAGCCGCGCGUCCCGUCCGGCCUCUCAGUCUCACUGAUUGGUGGGCCAAAGGGAAGGCACAGACAAGAGGGGCGAGGAAAGUGUCCGUUUUCUGUCCAUUUGGGAGCAUUCUUGGACCAAGUUUGCUCCAGGUUUGAGGUUGGGCGGGACAAAAAAAGCGUCCAACGGACAGAGUUGUCCGUUUGGGUAUUACCGCUGGGUCGUAUUUUACCCCAAACGGACAAAUUCGGACCGGAUGGGUCAAAUUCGGACCGGAUGGGUCACGCGGUGGAGUUGGCCUAAGUUUUUUUCUUUUUUGAGACAAUCCUCGUAAGUUGAAGAGUCCUUGACUGAUGCUGCACUUCUCUUGUGUUCUUCGCUGGGCAUUGGGCUGAUUUGGUGUGUGCGUGCAUGCGCAGGGGCGCCGGAUCUACAACAUGUCCCACGGCAUCGGGAAGGAAGGAGUGACCCAUUUUGGGUACCGAUUCAAGCCCUCUCUACUGUGUCGUCUCAACACAUACGAGCCCUUGUACAGUUGUGUGUGUACGUACCCUGGUGAAGUGAAAGCAAUGUAGUACUGGAAGUGUUGGAUUCAGAUGGGUGCUGUCGCCUAUUUUGAACGAGCAAGCCAACAAUCGAGUGGUUUUCCAGUUAAGAUAACAAAGAUCAUGUAUUUGAUUUGCAAGGGCACCUCUCCACCAAAGACCAGAAACACAUGCAAAGCGUAGGCAAUCCAUGGAGAACCUAUAUUACAUUAGUGUUGCGUCCACUGAUUAUUGCAUAGUAAGUACCUUUGUCCUCAGACUGUCAUGGAAGCUAUAUGACCCUGCCGAUGCGGGUAUCAACCACUGUAGGCUUUGAAGCUUCUGAAAACUCCAACGCUUGGGCUAAUGUUAACCUAUGAUUCUUCCAGGCAUCCUCUGCCCACUCCUUCAUUCGCUCACCUUCUGCCUUCCUAUUCGACUGGAUAAGCAACAGUUCGGCAUACUCGCCUGCAAAUUGGACAGGCAGCAACAAAUUCAAUAUUAACCAAAUGUAAGAACAUGAGCACGGGGCACUGUAAGAGCCUCGAUAAUGCUGACUACUUUCACUGUUUACGGUUACUAGGAUUUGUCAGAACUCCAGGCUUACACUAACACUAACCAACGGUUACGGUACUCUGCGAUUCUAGGAAAGUUUUCAUGGGAAAGAUUAGAAAAUAUGUUUUCCCAUGCUCCAGUUACUGAAACAAGGGUUUACGACACGUUGCAAUCCUACUGACUACUGUACUAACACAGACAGGUAGGCAGGUUUGGAUUCACAUUGUUAGGUUACAUUUACAAGAUCCACACAAAAAGGGGGGAUUACAUUACAAGAUUUAGCACAAGCCACCCCAUAUCGUCUCAUUCAAACAGGAGGCAAGGAAACAAGCAAAAAUAAAAUAAAAGAACUGUAAACCAGAAGCUAGAAUGACCCGGUAGAGGAAAACUUAAACUGAUUAUGAUAUCAAUUGGCAAUCAAUUGACAUAUAUGAUGUUGCAUGAAGUAACUUGCUUUUCUAAUAAUACACUAGAAGUGCCUUUUGGUAUAAUGUUCCAGAGAAGAUUAGGUAAUAAAGAUUCAAAGUAUAACCUCUAGCAAGUGAAAUGAUAUCUCUCCAAUCGACCUGCCUUCUUGUGUCUGCAAAAUAUUAAUACGAAACUUAAUACUGCCCAAGGGAUUAACAAGAAACAACACCAUA
rnacentral:lncRNA from 1 species